rnacentral:rRNA from 1 species
AACGCGAAGAACCUUACCAGGGCUUGACAUGUAUUGUAACCCCGGUGAAAGCCGGGCAGCAUGGAAACAUGCGCUUUACACAGGUGCUGCAUGGCUGUCGUCAGCUCGUGUCGUGAGAUGUUGGGUUAAGUCCCGCAACGAGCGCAACCCUUAUGAUUUGUUGCCACCGGUUCAUUCCGAGCACUCAAAUCAGACUGCCCAGAUUAACUGGGAGGAAGGUGGGGAUGACGUCAAGUCCGUAUGGCCCUUACGUCCUGGGCUGCACACGUACUACAAUGUCCAGUACAAAUUGAACCGAGACCGCAAGGUGGAGGAAAUCAAUAAAACUGGGCUCAGUUCAGAUUGCAGGCUGCAACUCGCCUGCAUGAAGUCGGAAUCGCUAGUAAUGGUACAUCAGCAACGGUACCGUGAAUACGUUCCCGGGUCUUGUACACACCG